rnacentral:rRNA from 1 species
CCUACCAAGGCGACGAUCCAUAGCCGGCCUGAGAGGGUGAACGGCCACAUUGGGACUGAGACACGGCCCAGACUCCUACGGGAGGCAGCAGUGGGGAAUAUUGCACAAUGGGGGAAACCCUGAUGCAGCGACGCCGCGUGAAGGAAGAAGUAUCUCGGUAUGUAAACUUCUAUCAGCAGGGAAGAUAGUGACGGUACCUGACUAAGAAGCCCCGGCUAACUACGUGCCAGCAGCCGCGGUAAUACGUAGGGGGCAAGCGUUAUCCGGAUUUACUGGGUGUAAAGGGAGCGUAGACGGACUGGCAAGUCUGAUGUGAAAGGCGGGGGCUCAACCCCUGGACUGCAUUGGAAACUGUUAGUCUUGAGUGCCGGAGAGGUAAGCGGAAUUCCUAGUGUAGCGGUGAAAUGCGUAGAUAUUAGGAGGAACACCAGUGGCGAAGGCGGCUUACUGGACGGUAACUGACGUUGAGGCUCGAAAGCGUGGGGAGCAAACAGGAUUAGACACCCUGGUAGUCCACGCCGUA